rnacentral:tRNA from 1 species
GGCGAAGUGCCAGAGUGGUUAAUGGGUGUGCCUCGAAUUAACUCUGUAGUUUCAGAGCUUUGUAGCACAUGGCUUCGGUCGCGCAAGUUCGAAUCUUGUCUUCGUCG